rnacentral:lncRNA from 1 species
UUUUUUUUUUUUUUUGGCUUUUUAGGGCCAUAUCCGCCCUAAAGACCAGGGAUUGAACCUAUGUCCUCAUGGAUACUAGCUGGAUUUGUUACCGAUGAGCCACAAGGGGAACUCUCCUUCUACCAUAUUUACAAAGACUACUGGUUUCUUUGUUACAGUGGCUUCACCUUUAUUCCACCUUACUGAUACACCUUUGCAAAAAUUGAUAAAGCUUUCUAACAAUGCUCUUGGGGAAAAAAAAAAAUGGCCCUCUUUAGAUCGGUGCUGACACAUUCAAAUAUCAACUGAAGUCAAAAUAUUUUAUCAUGCAUUUUCAUUAAAAAAAAAAUCUCAAGAAAGCAACUAAUAAUUGAUUCCAUCUUUGUUCUAAAAGUUAACCACUAUAAUCUAAAUGGGGCCAUAUAAGAGAUAAAAUAAACAUGUUUUCAAUUUAUUUUUCAGCAUAAAGUCUGAAUCAUAAGGAUUUUUUUUUUACUACUUACUAUGAAAUGUAAGUGGAUUCACUUCAAGUGACAAUAUUCUGGCACUAAGUCUCCUCCCAUCAGGGAAUUUCUGACACAGAGCACACAUUUCUCUUUCUGCUUCUUGCUAAUUCAGAAGGAAACACUAACCAGGGAAAAAUAAGUCAUGACUAACAAGUAUCUCAAAUAAGUAAAGAGAUUUUCAGCAACUUUUACUAGGAGAAAACAUGAAAGUCAUUUGGAAAUUAUAUAUAAAAUAAUCUAAUGCCAUUAUGUGUUCCUUGACUACAUUAAUCUAAGGUUUGUUUGGGUUUUUUUGUUUUUUGUUUUUAAUUUUUUUUUUUUUUUUUUGCCUUGUAGGGUUGUGCCUUUUAGGCAUAUGGAGGUUCCCAGAAAAGGCAAAAAGACAAAAAGAAGAAAGAAAGAAAAGAAAAGUAAUAUAUAUAAGUCUGCUGCACUUCUGUAUUCUAACAAACUAUCAGAACGAGAAAUGAAGAAAACAAUCCCACGUACAACUGGAAUAAAUUUAACCAAUGAGAUGAAAGACCUAUACUUGGAAAAUCCAGACACUGAGGAAAGAAACUGAAGAUAAACAAAUAAAGGGAAAGAUACACCAUGCUUAUGGACUGGAAGACUCAAUAGCAUUAAGUUAUCUAUACUACCCAAAGCAAUCUACAGAUUCAAUGCAAUCCCUAUCAAAAUACCAAUGGCAUUUUUCACAGAACUAGAACAAAUAAUCCUGAAAUUUGUAUGGAACUACAAAUGACCCCAAAUAGCCAAAACAAUUUUAAAGGAGAAGAACAAACCUGGAGGUAUCACACUCUGAUAUCAAACUCUACUACAAACCUAUGGUAAUCAAAAUUGGCACUGGCUCAAAAACAGACACAUAGAACAAUGGAACAGAAUAGAGAGCCUCAAAAUAAGCCUAUACUCAUACAGUCAAUUAAGAGGCAAGAGUAUUCAAUAAAGGAAAAGACAGUCUCUUCAAUAAAUGGUGUUGGAAAAACUGGACAGCUACAUACAAAAGAAUGGAGCUGGACUUUUUUAUAUGCCCUAUCCCUAAUGAAGUAAACUGAUAAUGUAUUUCCCUGUUCUUUACAAAUUGAGAAUGUACUUCCCUGUUCUUUGCUCUACCAUCAAUGUCAUUAUCUGGACCAUUUAUGAUAUGCAAUGCUGUUUUUAAAACUAGAUCAAAUUCACUGACACUUCUCCCCUUGAAUCUGAGUGGGCUUUCGACUCCUUUGACUAAUACACUACAACAGAAAGCAUACCAUGCAAUGCUAGGCCAGAAAAGGCCAAGGAGCUCCUGCUUGGUCUUCUGGACUUCUCAUUCUUUGGACAGUCCCUCUUGGAACCUAGCCACCACACUGGGAGAAGCUCCUGCCAAAUGAGGAAGCCACAUAUAGGUGUUCUAGCACAGGACCCAGGCUUAAAAUCAUCCCAGCCAAGGACCCAGACAUAUGAGUGAGAAAACCCUCAGAUGAUCCCAGGCUGAAGUUGUCCAAGUACUCCCAACUAUCGAGUUUUCCAAGAUAAAGGAGUUCCUAUCGUGGCUCAGUGGAAACAAAUCUGACUAGCUUCCAUGAGGAUGCAGGUUCAAUCCCUGGACUCGCUCAGUGGGUUAAGGACCCAGCGUUGCCAUGAGCUGUGGUGUAGGUUGCACACACAGCUUGGAUCCCGCAUGGCUGUGGCUGUGGUAUAGGCUGGCAGCUGCAGCUCUGAUUCCACCCCUAGCCUGGGAACUUCCAUAUGCCAGGGUGCAACCCUAAAAAAAAAAAAAAAAAAAAGUUUUCCAAGAUAUAGAGCAUAGAUAUUGUGGAACAGACAUUCCCACUGUUCCCUACCCAAUUUUAAGCCCACAGAAUCCAUGAGUGUGAUAAAAUGGUUGUUGCUGUGUGCCCAUAAGUUUAAGAUGAUUUCUUAAAUAGCAAUAGAUAAUUGGAAAGUAUAAUGAACACAGUAUAUCAUUCUUGACCACCUCAUUCUCAUUAGAUUCAUCUCUAAUCCCUCUCAACCCACUUCCUUCCCUUAAAUGUUUCCUCUUUUUCACUCAUCCAUCUUUUCGCCAUGUUCGGUUCAUGAACUAAUCUGUCCACAGGAAUAGUUUCAGACAUUCAUAUAUAAUCAUUCUGGAAUUUAUUGCAAUAACAUGUUGUAUGAGGAACUGUGCAUGAGGCCACUGAGGUGAUUACAAAGAUGAGCAAGACAGAAUCUUUGCUCUAGGGAGGGACAGAAAAAAGGGACUUAAAAACAAAGAGCUACGGUAAAUCUGUCGAGGGCUAUAAAAGUGAUACAGAUAAGGUGUUUUGGAAUACUAAUGGCCCCAAGAAAUCACUGAUACAUGAUCACUAAAGAGGAAGUAAUUACCCUUCUUCAGAAUACGGUGGACCACUUGUGACAGAUGAAAAGAAUUUUGACAAAUGGCUGGAGAUACACCAACACAUGAGUAAGAGUAGAUAUUAAUGUUCUGGUCCGUAUGAUCACUUCCACGUACAAUAUAUAUGAAAACUUUUUCUUGAAAGUUGCUUGAUUUUCAUCAGAAUCAUAAACAGGAAAUAAAAAUUUAAAAUGGCAUGUGUUCACUCUGUCAUUUUUGGAAGUUGUAUACUGGCUCUCCACCAUAAGUGUUAAUUAUACGUAUUUUUAUUAGUGUAGAAAAGAAGUUAAACAGAAAGGCAAUAGUCUUAGUUCCCGAAGAACGACUAUUUUAACUACAUACAGUCUUCAUGUUACAGACCAGAUGCAUUCCAAGUAUAGGGCUGAAAUUAAAAUAAAUUUUAACUAGAAUAAUUUAUCUUUGGCUUCAAUUAAAGAAUUAAAAAUACAUUCCCAUGGGAAUAAACAUUUAUUCAAUACACACGGUACAAGUCUUUGGAAAGAGACAAGGCCCUUCUGUGUGUUAAGGAAUUGAGAUGUGGUUUCAUAAAACCAGAAUUUGCCAACAGCUUGCACUGAAACCUAGUAUUUUAUAGAACUUUCACUUCACCAUCACUACUUUCAACUCCCUUCUCCAAAACAGCUGUUUCCCACUGGGAAGCAUAACCUAACCAUACAAAGAUUUUGAAGCUUGACACUUCUCCUUUUGGGGUGAUAGCCAAGCAUUAAAUCUCAACAUCAUGUCUUACCAACAGAGCACAUAUUUCAGUGCACCUGAAAAUUCCAUUUGAAAAUCAUGUUCUCUAAAAUUAAUGGAUG